rnacentral:rRNA from 1 species
UCGACCUGAGCUCAGGCAAGAACACCCGCUGAACUUAAGCAUAUCAAUAAGCGGAGGAAAAGAAACUAACUAGGAUUCCCUUAGUAGCGGCGAGCGAACCGGGAAAAGCCCAACUUGUAAAUCAUUAGCCUUCGGCUAAUUGAAUUGUAGUCUCAAGGUGUGUUCUCUGUAGCAAGCAUUGCCCAAUUUUCCUUGGAAAAGGGAGUCAGAGAGGGUGAGAACCCCGUCGGCAAUUGCUUCAGCUACUCCACGAGACACUCCCUCAGAGUCGGGUUGCUUGGGAAUGCAGCCCUAAGUAGGUGGUAAAUCCCAUCUAAGGCUAAAUACUGACGGGAGACCGAUAGCGAACAAGUACCGUGAGGGAAAGAUGAAAAGAACUUUGAAAAGAGAGUCAAAAGUGCUUGAAAUUGUUGAGGGGGAAGGAAUUGGAAGCCGUAAGUGCUCCCUGGCUUAAGUGGGCAACUCUGCCUAUUGUAUGCUCUGGGAGCCGGUCAGCAUCAGCUAUUGGACCGGGACAAUAACUGCUUUUGCAGUGCAUGUCGGCCCAAUGGCUGAGGAAUGAAAGGCGCUCUUUGAGUCCUUCGGAACCGCGCUCAA